UCAGGAAACAGUUCUUGGCAUCCAC
rnacentral:misc_RNA from 1 species